GCAUUAAUGGGGUAGUGGUAACCUGGGUCGUUGCCAUAGGAACAAUGUCAAUUUCAGUGCAUCUCGACCCGCCGGGGGUUCGAUUCCCUCUUAAUGCA